CAUCAGCAACCAGACUCAACAUCUGGACAUCACUCAACUCUGUCACACAUGUCCCACAGAAGGCUCUGUAUCUCAGACAGUGCUGAUCUCUGCUACUGCUGCUGGAUUUCUGUUGAUUGUAGCUGUAAUUGGGAUCUUCUGGAUCUGCUGGAAA